rnacentral:rRNA from 1 species
GACGAACCGUGCGAACGUUGUUCGGAAUCACUGGGCUUAAAGGGCGCGUAGGCGGGCUGUCAAGUCUGGGGUGAAAUGCUGCGGCUCAACCGUAGAACUGCCUUAGAUACUGACGGCCUCGAGGGAGGUAGGGGCAUGCGGAACUGUAGGUGGAGCGGUGAAAUGCGUUGAUAUCUACAGGAACUCCGGUGGCGAAAGCGGCGUGCUGGACCUCUUCUGACGCUGAGGCGCGAAAGCUAGGGGAGCAAACGGG